UGAUUAUAUAUGCAAUUAUUUAAUUAUUUAAUAUUUCGACUACAGCAGUAAAAAAUAUACCUAAUAAUAUAUUUAAAUAAUUAUUUAUUUUCUGUAUAAGGGUCUAAUUAUGUAUGAAGUUAUUUAAUUAUUUAGUUUUCUGAUUAUAGUAGUUAGAUAUGUAUUUAAUAAUAUAUUUAAUUAAUUAUUAAUUUUCCGUAUAAGGUUAUGAUUAUAUAUUUAGUCAUAUAUUGUAACACCCCGCAUUUUCGAGCAAGAAAUUGAACCGUCGUCCCUAUGUGUGUUAGCUCUAAUUCCAUGGUUUUUAUUUAGAUUCAUGUUUCAUGAUCCUUCUCCUAGUAUAUGAAGUGGUUAUGAGGUGAAAAAUGUUCAUAGAAAUAGCCUAAAGCAAAGUUGAGCUAAGAACCCUUCAACAAUCCAAAAUUUGAUAUUUGAUUCUACAAGGGUCAUCUUUGAACGAGUAACUUUUUUUAUUUAUAGAAUUUGGCAGAUUAAUACCCACCAAAUUGUAGAUAAUCGAAUUAGCUUUCCAACGAUACCAAUUUAGCCUAAAUUCACUAACCAAGUAAAAAGUUAUGCCAUUUUUUGUGUGAGGUAAUAAGGGGUCACGAUAGCCCCACGACGCGAGGGUUGCUUGACCCAAAUAGGGGUCGCGUCGCGAGGUCUACUUAACCCACCUAAGGGUCAUGACACGGGGGCUAUUCCCGCACAAUUUCAGCUUCUUAAGGGUCAUGGGGCACUUUGGUCUUUUCCCCUGGACCCCAAACGUAUAAAACACCGAAUUUCAGUCCCUAAACAGCAAUUUAACCCCAAAAAAAUUCAUAUUCUCAUCAAAGUGAAAUCAUCCUCCGUCUUCCCAAGAACAAAAACCCCAACUCUUAAGCCAAGAUUUCAAGAAAACGGAUCAACAAUCAGGUUCCAUCUUUCAAAUCUUAUCAUCUAAGGUACGUGGGGUUUUUCCUAAAACUACAUGGGCAUAGUAAAUUCUUAUUAUUUAUGUUGAAGGUUUAGAAAUCAUGAAAUUACAAAAAUGGUUUUGGAUUUACAAUUACAUUUAUGUAUCAUGAAACUGUAUUGGUGAUAAAGUUUUGGUCUUGAGGCCUUUUUCCCCAAAGUUGACCCGUAACUAUGUAUAAGUAUACAUAUAUAUGUAAUAUAUAUGUACAUAUAUACAUAUAUAUAUAUAUAUAUAUGUACAUAUCUAUAUACAUAUAUAUAUAUAUGUACAUAUCUAUAUACAUAUAUAUAUAUA
rnacentral:lncRNA from 1 species